rnacentral:rRNA from 1 species
CCUACGGGAGGCAGCAGUGAGGAAUAUUGGUCAAUGGACGAGAGUCUGAACCAGCCAAGUAGCGUGAAGGAUGACUGCCCUAUGGGUUGUAAACUUCUUUUAUAUGGGAAUAAAAUGUUCCACGUGUGGGAUUUUGUAUGUACCAUAUGAAUAAGGAUCGGCUAACUCCGUUCCAGCAGCCGCGGUAAUACGGAGGAUCCGAGCGUUAUCCGGAUUUAUUGGGUUUAAAGGGAGCGUAGGUGGAUUGUUAAGUCAGUUGUGAAAGUUUGCGGCUCAACCGUAAAAUUGCAGUUGAAACUGGCAGUCUUGAGUACAGUAGAGGUGGGCGGAAUUCGUGGUGUAGCGGUGAAAUGCUUAGAUAGCACGAAGAACUCCGAUUGCGAAGGCAGUUCACUGGACUGCAACUGACACUGAGGCUCGAAAGUGUGGGUAUCAAACAGGAUUAGAUACCCCUGUAGUC